rnacentral:lncRNA from 1 species
GCUGGAAGCGGCCGGAACGCCACUGCACGUGGCCGGGGUCCUACUGGACGCGGUUAGAAUGCCGCCGGUGGCUUCGCACGGGGCGGUUACCGCCCCCCCCCCAGGCAUGCGGGUGGCCAGCGCGCCACAGAGGACGCCGCCCAGGGCGCUCCCGUCGGCUUUGGCGCCGCCGCACCUCCUCCCGUCGGACUUGAUCCAUGGCUGCUCGCCGGCCAUGCCGC